rnacentral:lncRNA from 1 species
GCGCCACCUCCCCCAGGCCCCUGGUAGAGCACCCUGGCACUCGGCAGCGGUGGAUCUUGUCUUGUGGGUAGUUCCCCUUCUGCACAUGGUGGCGGCAGCCCUCCUCUCCACGCGACGACGGCGGCCAGUUUGGAAUCUUCACUAGUAUUGUGGAUUUGAACACUGAGUUCAUGUCUUCGGCCAAGGACCAGCAUCUACGUCCCCGUUAUCUGCA